UNNGGCUUGUCUCAAAGAUUAAGCCAUGCAUGUCUAAGCAUGAACUAAACUAAAGUGAAGCCGCGAAUAGCUCAUUACAACAGCCGUUGUUUCUUGGAUCUCCGCAAUACUUGGAUAACUGUGGUAAUUCUAGAGCUAAUACACGCAAUCGAGCUCCGACCUUACGGGACGAGCGCAUUUAUUAGAACAAAACCAAUCAGUGCUUGCACUGUGGUUUGGUGAAUCUGAAUAACUGAGCAGAUCGCUUCGGUCUUUGUACCGGCGAUGUAUCUUUCAAGUGUCUGCCUUAUCAACUUUCGAUGGUAGUUUAUGUGCCUACCAUGGUUGUAACGGGUAACGGAGAAUUAGGGUUCGACUCCGGAGAGGGAGCCUGAGAAACGGCUACCACUUCUAAGGAAGGCAGCAGGCGCGCAAAUUACCCACUCUCGGCACGAGGAGGUAGUGACGAAAAAUAACGAGACGGUGAUCUUAUGAUUACCGUCAUCGGAAUGAGAACAAUCUAAACCCUUAACGAGACCUAGCGAGGCAUUNUNNNNG
rnacentral:rRNA from 1 species